UUGUGUUAAGGAUAGAAACGGCAUCCUUUUUUUUGAGGGACGAAGAAAAAAGAUAUAGUGAAUAGCCUGACUUUUG
rnacentral:sRNA from 1 species